rnacentral:rRNA from 1 species
GAUGAACGCUGGCGGCGUGCCUAAUACAUGCAAGUCGAGCGAAUGGAUUAAGAGCUUGCUCUUAUGAAGUUAGCGGCGGACGGGUGAGUAACACGUGGGUAACCUGCCCAUAAGACUGGGAUAACUCCGGGAAACCGGGGCUAAUACCGGAUAACAUUUUGAACCGCAUGGUUCGAAAUUGAAAGGCGGCUUCGGCUGUCACUUAUGGAUGGACCCGCGUCGCAUUAGCUAGUUGGUGAGGUAACGGCUCACCAAGGCAACGAUACGUAGCGGACCUGAGAGGGUGAUCGGCCACACUGGGACUGAGACACGGCCCAGACUCCUACGGGAGGCAGCAGUAGGGAAUCUUCCGCAAUGGACGAAAGUCUGACGGAGCAACGCCGCGUGAGUGAUGAAGGCUUUCGGGUCGUAAAACUCUGUUGUUAGGGAAGAACAAGUGCUAGUUGAAUAAGCUGGCACCUUGACGGUACCUAACCAGAAAGCCACGGCUAACUACGUGCCAGCAGCAGCCGCGG